UAGAAACAAGAUUGCGCAAUGCGCAUGUUUGCUUUCAGUCAGCUGUUCUUGCUGACAUCACGGUUGACUUAUUAUUCGCCCGCGCCUUUGAAUGUGAAAGAAAUUUGCAGUUUGAAAUGGGUUUAAGUUCGCGGAGUCUAACGAAGUUGCUACCUAGCGCUUUUCUCACGUUAACCAGAUUAACUCCUGCAGAGGCUAAUGAAAGGCAGAAAAGGAUGGAGUCUCGUUUAAACCACUGUUUCUUAUCCUAAUUGCAAUAUUUUUCAACGUGUGUCAGUUGAUCUAUUCUGACCCAAUUGAAAAAAAUGAUGACUUCAAGAUUCUCAACAACGACGGACUUGAAAAUUUGGCGGGGUACAUCUGCCACAAACUUGGUAAAGACAACCCCGAAAUUUGUGCCUAUUCAGAAAAUUGUUCGUCUUAUACUUGGAUGGAUCACCCAUCUGAAGGAGGACUCUCAAAACCAACAGAUAUGUUGAUGGAGCAUAUGAGAGACUUGCAAGCAGUAUUUGACGACUUAAAUGGUACUGAUUUGCAUAUGUAUAUGUACAAAUUACGUCCAGAAGCACUUAGAUUUAAGUAAUUUUGUAAAUUGUAGCACCAAAGUAAAAUUAAUGUU